rnacentral:rRNA from 3 species
GCUUGCUUCUAUGACGUUAGCGGCGGACGGGUGAGUAACACGUGGGCAACCUGCCUGUAAGACUGGGAUAACUUCGGGAAACCGAAGCUAAUACCGGAUAGGAUCUUCUCCUUCAUGGGAGAUGAUUGAAAGAUGGUUUCGGCUAUCACUUACAGAUGGGCCCGCGGUGCAUUAGCUAGUUGGUGAGGUAACGGCUCACCAAGGCAACGAUGCAUAGCCGACCUGAGAGGGUGAUCGGCCACACUGGGACUGAGACACGGCCCAGACUCCUACGGGAGGCAGCAGUAGGGAAUCUUCCGCAAUGGACGAAAGUCUGACGGAGCAACGCCGCGUGAGUGAUGAAGGCUUUCGGGUCGUAAAACUCUGUUGUUAGGGAAGAACAAGUACGAGAGUAACUGCUCGUACCUUGACGGUACCUAACCAGAAAGCCACGGCUAACUACGUGCCAGCAGCCGCGGUAAUACGUAGGUGGCAAGCGUUAUCCGGAAUUAUUGGGCGUAAAGCGCGCGCAGGCGGUUUCUUAAGUCUGAUGUGAAAGCCCACGGCUCAACCGUGGAGGGUCAUUGGAAACUGGGGAACUUGAGUGCAGAAGAGAAAAGCGGAAUUCCACGUGUAGCGGUGAAAUGCGUAGAGAUGUGGAGGAACACCAGUGGCGAAGGCG